UCUGUUGUAGUCGAGCCGACGACAAAACGAUCAUCAGUGAGAGAACCGCUGCUUUAACUAUUAAAAAUAAAAAAUGCCACUCGCGUUCCUAAAGGGAAGUCUUUGCCUUUUCCCCUUCACGAGAAAUACCGUUCACGCGCAUUCUCACACGCCGAUUUCACUCCGUUCCACGUCCGCGCUGUAUAUACCCAACUCCAGUCUACAAAACACAUCUAUUUGCAGUGGACGUGAGGAAGGCAUUUUUUGUAAGGCCGCCGACAGUUCCUCUGACAGCACGUGAAACUCGAAAAUUGCCAUCAUUCAACGGCUGGAGCACACUUUGUCUUUACGAGGGAAAGCCGGAGUGGAAUUCCGAAAUCACAUCCGUUGUCAAAAAUAACUCGAAAGUUUGAACGAAUACGCUCGGUAGUAUACCUUGGCCUCUAGGGUCUGAAGCUGCGACAAACGAGGCUGAUGCAUGCCGAAGUUUUCACCGUACGGAAGCCCAGUGUACGUUCCAGGCGGCAGGCUGGACGGCAGAGUGCUCUACAUACGAGUAUUUUUUUAAAAGGAAACUGUUAGCCCUUUUUUAAAUUUUUUUCUUGGCUCAAAAUCGAUUUGAACGCGGCUGAUGGAUGAUGGCCGCAGAAUCAGAGUGGAAAGAAGUCACAACCACAUCAUCGUACAUCGACCGAGCAAAAAGGAGAAGUCAACAGAAAUAAGAGAGCAGCAAAUACGAAUGAAGUAAAAAAAAUAAAAAUAAAAAUAAAAUAAAACAAAAAGAAAAUUGAGGGGAAAGGUGUUGAUGGCUGACGUACCAUAGAGGCUGAUCGAUGAUUGAGCUGCUGAUAAAUGAUUUCGCUGCUGGCGUAACUCGCCUCAACCGGACAAUUUUGAUCCACUGUUUCCAAUGGGUGCGCCGAAAAGCUGUGAUUACUGUAGCCCGAGGAACUUUUGCGAGACGCCUUACUGCUGCUGCACACGUAUACCCAAGCGUUUGGUGUUUAAAUACAUAAGAAGACACGAAAAA